rnacentral:lncRNA from 1 species
GCAUACAGCAGAUGAGAGAUGUGUGGGAUCUGAUUCAUGCAGAGAGCUGAACUAGAUGACCUUAUGAGGUCCCUUCCAGCCCAACGUUUCUGGGAUACCGCACAGAAGAACACAAGCAGAUGACAACAGUAAUAGGAAGAUAGAAGCAGAUGACAAAAAUGGAAAGUGAAUUAGCAGCACUGACAGGAACCCAGCCACAGUAAAAGCUUCCUGACACAGCACUGCCCAAGCAGUACUGUCUUGUCUGAUGGCAAAAAUCUUACUGAUGAUCUGAGCCUUUCUCUGGAGAAGGGACUGCAGAGCAGACUGAACUACUCUGAACUAAGUGCUAUUUCUGCAACAUGGACUGACAUAAGAGGCUAGGAUGAGACCACUACGUUCAUGUAACUUGGUAACCUCCUUCACGAUCUGAUCCCAUACUCCAGAGAGGAAUGAAUGAUCAGUACAAGCUAAUUCACUAUCAUGCUUCCAAAAUAUUGCAAGUAAGAAGAUUUUCACAGGGAAAUACAAAGUCAACUUUUCACCUAAUGCAUGCACAAGUGAUGAGGAAAAGAAAAGCUCCAAGCCAAAAAUUUAACUUCCAAAAGAAAACGAGGCACAGAGCAGGUGCACAGAAGAUCUCUUCCAAUACUGUCAGAUGUAUCUUUAAAAUGCUGGUCUGGUUGAGAAGAGCAGAGCAGAAUUCAGUGUGAGAAGAUGUCCUUAAGCCACCUUCUUUGUGGUCCUCUGAUCCUGAACCAGCUGCUAGAAAUUUAUGAUGGCUGAGAAAAGCUUCAGUUGGUCCCAUGGAGAGUGUCACCAAAGAACAGAGAAGCUAUGACCAUGCCCUUUGCAAUGCCAGUUGAACACUAAGCUGAGCCAUAGCCUGGAGUUAGUUG